GACGAACGCUGGCGGCGUGCCUAAUACAUGCAAGUAGGACGCACAGUUUAUACCGUAGCUUGCUACACCAUAGACUGUGAGUUGCGAACGGGUGAGUAACGCGUAGGUAACCUGCCUAUUAGAGGGGGAUAACUAUUGGAAACGAUAGCUAAUACCGCAUAACAGUAUGUAACACAUGUUAGAUGCUUGAAAGAUGCAAUUGCAUCGCUAGUAGAUGGACCUGCGUUGUAUUAGCUAGUAGGUAGGGUAAUGGCCUACCUAGGCGACGAUACAUAGCCGACCUGAGAGGGUGAUCGGCCACACUGGGACUGAGACACGGCCCAGACUCCUACGGGAGGCAGCAGUAGGGAAUCUUCGGCAAUGGGGGGAACCCUGACCGAGCAACGCCGCGUGAGUGAAGAAGGUUUUCGGAUCGUAAAGCUCUGUUGUUAAGGAAGAAACGAGUGUGAGAAAGG
rnacentral:rRNA from 1 species